GACAGAGGGUGCAAACGUUGCUCGGAAUCACUGGGCGUAAAGAGCGUGUAGGCGGCCAAGCAGGUCCGUUGUGAAAACUGGAGGCUUAACCUCCAGACGUCGACGGAAACCGCGUGGCUAGAGUCCGGAAGAGGAGAGUGGAAUUCCUGGUGUAGAGGUGAAAUUCGUAGAUAUCAGGAAGAACACCAAUGGCGAAAGCAGCUCUCUGGGACGGUACUGACGCUGAGACGCGAAAGCGUGGGGAGCGAACAGG
rnacentral:rRNA from 1 species